CCUCUCGUCUCUCACACACAAGAGAAAGAGGAGAAGCGGAUCUCGCCGGCCAUCGGGAGGGAUGGCCGCCGACGGCCCCGACGCGGAUUCGCCGCGCUCUGGCCUGCUUCGAGCACCUCUCUCUACCUUCUCGCCGCCCCCCGCGCCGAGGCCGCUGACAUCUGCGCCGUCCCCGCCUUCCGAUUCCACUACACCGUGAGGGUGAUCCUCUUCGCCUUCUUCCGCGCCUACCUCGUCACCGCCGACGUUGCCAACCUCCAGUUCGUGCUCGCCGCCACCGUCCCAUUCGUAAUACUCCCGGUGGUGUCCCUCCUAAGGGACGACUUCGAGCCCGCCUUUGGGAACAACGACAGUGGAGGAGGGGCGAGGAGGAUAAGGCGUCGGAGGACGGGGGAUGGAGAAGAAGGAUGGUGACGUCAAGACCGGGCCGACGCUCCGACGUCGAGACCGUGCAGACUCGGAGGAGGCUUCGGUCCGCUCCUCCCUGUCUCGGUUGUUUGGCUAGUGAGCAGCUGAGGAGGGGCGUCAAUGGCGCAGACUGGGGAUUGACGCAUCCGAGCUGGGUGGUUGUGUUGAGAGGAUUUAUUCGGUGGUGCGGCCUCGCGGUUCGACACCGGCGAGAUGGGCGGCGGACCUCAGAGCAGUCAUUGAAGGCGAUUUGAGAGGUCACCUUCUCGAGGAUCGUCGAGAGGAAAUCGACGGGGGACUUCUCUGGCGUGCCAUACAACAUGACGUUGCUCAGCUGCCUCUUAUUGGCAUGCUAUCUUUUGUGUGAGCUACUGAUGCAAGGAUGGCACUGGUUGUAAGUACCAGUGAUACUGCAGAUUGCAAGAUUCUUUAGUGAGGAAGUCUGAUGGUGAUAUGACUAGACAGUAAUUAGCACUGUAUUUUCUUGUAGAUUUUGUCCUCAACCAUCGGCAGCUUAGCAUGGUAGUUGUCUGAUGUAGACCACACAUGCAGAUGGGUUUGAGAAUGUGGAUUGAACCCGUAAGCUGGGAACUAGUUUGGAUGGGUUUGGGUGGAAAAUUGUUGUAGUUUGGUUUGGUCUGGAUCCUAGUAUGCAGCUUUUAGUUUGGUUUGGAUCGGUUGCUACACACGUGUUUGUAAAAUUUGG